AACGAACGCUGGCGGCAUGCCUAACACAUGCAAGUCGAACGAGACCUUCGGGUCUAGUGGCGCACGGGUGCGUAACGCGUGGGAACCUGCCCUUAGGUUCGGAAUAACUCCCCGAAAGGGGUGCUAAUACCGGAUAAUGUCUUCGGACCAAAGAUUUAUCGCCUUUGGAUGGGCCCGCGUUGGAUUAGCUAGUUGGUAGGGUAAAAGCCUACCAAGGCGACGAUCCAUAGCUGGUCUGAGAGGAUGAUCCGCCACACUGGGACUGAGACACGGCCCAGACUCCUACGGGAGGGAGCAGUGGGGAAUAUUGGACGAUGGGCGAAAGCCUGAUCCAGCAAUGCCGCGUGAGUGAUGAAGGCCUUAGGGUUGUAAAGCUCUUUUAGCCGGGAUGAUAAUGACAGUACCGGGAGAAUAAGCACCGGCUAACUCCGUG
rnacentral:rRNA from 1 species